GUCCACGCCGUAAACGAUGAGCGCUAGGUGUUGUGGGUGUUGACCCCCGCAGUGCCGCAGCUAACGCAUUAAGCGCUCCGCCUGGGGAGUACGGCCGCAAGGCUAAAAACUCAAAAGGAAUUGACGGGGGCCCGCACAAGCGGUGGAGCAUGUGGUUUAAUUCGACGCAACGCGCAGAACCUUACCUGGUCUUGACAUCCUGGGAACCUGCCGGAGACGGUGGGGUGCCCGCAAGGGAACCCAGAGACAGGUGCUGCAUGGCUGUCGU
rnacentral:rRNA from 1 species